GGUUGCGAUCAUACCAGCACUAAUGCAUCGGAUCCCAUCAGAACUCCGCAGUUAAGCGUGCUUGGGCGAGAGUAGUACUCGGAUGGGUGACCCCCUGGGAAGUCCUCGUGUUGCAACCCC
rnacentral:rRNA from 1 species